rnacentral:lncRNA from 1 species
UUGAACUUUCUUGAGAAUAACACCAAACAGUACACACACAAAACAACAAAAAAACUUAAAGAGAGAAAAACAAAUCUCUCUCUCUCUCUCUCUUUCUUUCUUUAAGCUUAUCAGCUACCUUUAUCCAUAACCUAGAACAUGAAUGGGCGAGAUUUGCUUUGCUCUUUACAGUAUUUCAUUUUUUUUUGGUUUUUUUGUUUGGAAUUUCUAAUAUUUUUUUGGAUUAUAGGAUAAGAAGAAGAAACCAGAAGAAGUGACACAACUUAUAGAGUGACGGUGGUUAGCAAUCUUCAAAUUGAAACAAGAUAUUAACCCCUCUGUGGUUGGUGCUGAAAGGUCUAUUCUGUAUUAGGUAUUUGCUAAUAUAUUGCAAUUGGAGAUUGAGCCUCAUUUGAUAUUGAUUUAGCAGUGAUUUUGGAAUUCUUGAGUUCUGCCAAUGCUCCUGGCUUUAUGAAUGUAUAAUACGACGGUAUUGAAGAUCUCAAGUUCCUACUUCUUAUCUUAGAUUUUAUUUUUCUAUUUUAGAACUUGGAUUGAAAUUGGAGAAGAGUGAUUUUUGGAUGAAGAACGGGACUGUGCUUCCGUGAUAGUUGGGUCGGUAGCUAGCCUUUU